rnacentral:lncRNA from 1 species
CCUGAAAUUGUUCAGUGAGUGGGAACCUGCUCCGUGCCAGAGAAGUGCAUACUCCAUUGGAAUUGUUCUAAUUGUUAAGAAAAUAUUCUUACAAAAAGACUAAAUGUUCUCCUUUGUAAAUUCCAUUUUUUCCUUUCAGAGAAACAGGAAAUGUCUAAUCCCUCUUCCACAAGAGAAUUUUUCAUAUACUUGAAGACAGAAUUCAGUUUUUGAUUUAAGGCUUAACCAAAACUACUGACAGGAAAAAUAAGGGAAAGCAGAGGAUAGAGCACUGGGCCUGAAGUCAGAAAGACUCAUCUACAGUAUCUUUGCCAAGAAAGCUCCAUGUCGAGUCAUAAAAGUCAGGCACAACUGCAAAAAUGAAUCCACAGCAACAAUUAUGAACAAACGUCCAACAAUUGGAGAGUCAAUUCAAGGAUGGUUGCUUUUAGUAAUAGAAGAUUUAAGAGGGUUUUCUUUAAAAACAUUUGAUUGAAGAUCCUGGAGAGAAGGCCACUGUGGGUUGGAUAAUUGGAGUGGCAUGGAGACUGAAGAAAGGGAGAUUUUUUUUACCUGAAAGAAGUAGCUGAUCUGCUCAGUUUCUGGGCAAAGGAAAUAGAAUUGAUUCUGCCAAUUAAAAAUUUAAAGGAUUGCAAAUGUAUUAGUAGAAUUGAACCAAACA